CUUGGUUGAUCCUACCAGUAGACAUAUGCUUGUCUCAAAUAUUAAGCCAUGCAUGUGUAAGUAUGAACUAAUUCAGGCUGUGAAACUGCGAAUGGCUCAUUAAAUCAGUUAUAAUUUGUUUGAUGGUAUUUUCUACUCAAAUAACUAUAGUAAUUCUAGAGCUAAUACAUGCAACAAGCCCUGAUUUCUGAAAGGGAUACAUUUAUUAGAUAAAUGGUCGAGCGGGUUUUGCCUUUUGCUAUGAUGAUUCAUGAUAACUCGACGGAUCGCAUGACCUUUCUGCCGGUGACGCAUCAUUCAAAUUUCUACCCUAUCAACUUUUGAUGGUAUGAUAGUUCCAUACUAUGGUGGUGAUGGGUGACAGAGAAUUAGGGUUCGAUUCCGGAGAGGAAGCCUGAGAAAUAACUACCAUAUCCAAGGAAGGUAGCAGGAGCGUAAAUUACCCAAUCCUGACACGGGGAGGUAGUGACAAUAAAUAAUAAUACUAGGCUCUACUAGGAUCAAUUUGAGGGAAAGUUUGGUGCCAACAAUUGUAAUAAUUCCAUCUCUAAAAGUAUAUAUUUAAGUUAUUGCAGUUAAAAAGCUUGUAGUUGUGACCUAGGGGUGGCUCGAUCGGUCCGCCUCACGGUGAGCAGCGGUCUGCUCAUCCCUACUGUCGGCGAUGCACUCUUGGCCUUAAUUGGUCGGGUCGUUCCUUUGACGCAGUUACUUUGAAGAAAUUAGAGUGCUCAAAGUAGGCCUACACUUGUAUACAUUAACAUGGGAUAAUAUCAUAUGAUUUCGAUCCUAUUGUGUUGGCCUUCGGGAUCAGAGUAAUGAUUUACGGGGAUAGUCAGGGGCUUUAUUAUUUCAUAGUCAGAGGUGAAAUUCUUUGAUUUAUGAAAGAAGGACAACUGCGAAAGCAUUUUCCAAUGAUGUUUUCAUUAAUCAAGAACAAAAGUUGGGGGCUAGAAGACGAUCAAAUAUCGUCCUAGUCUUAACCAUAAAAGAUGUCGAUAUGGAUCACUGGAUGUUUAUUUUAGAACUCCGUCGAUACCUUAUGAGAAAUCAAAGUCUUUGGGUUAUAGAGGGAGUAUGGUCGCAAGGAUGAAACUUAAAGGAAUUGACGAAAGGGAACCACCAAGAGUUGAGCCUGCGGCUUUAUUUAACUUAACACGGGGAAGCUUAUCAGGUCCAGAUAAAGUAAGGAUUGACAGACUAAGAGCUCUUUAUUGAUUCUAUGGGUGGUAGUGCAUAGUCGUUCUUAGUUUAUGGAGUAAUUUGUUUGGUUACUUCCAUUAAUGAACUAGACCACAUCCUACUAACUACCUACACGGAGGUGAUCCUUCAUGGCUAGCUUUUUAGAGGGACUAUGGCCGCUUAGGCCAAGGAAGUUUGAGGCAGUAACAGGUCUGUGAUGCCCUUAGAUGUUCUGGGCCGCACGCACCCUAUACUAAUAUAUUCAACAAGUCUAUAGCCUUGGUCGACAGGCCCACGUAAUCUUUGAAAUUUCAUCAUGUUGGGGAUAGAUCAUUGCAAUUGUUGGUCUUCAACGAGGAAUUUAUAGUAAUCACGAGUUAUCAACUUGCGUUGACUACGUCCCAGCCCUUUUUACGCAUCGCCCUUCGCUCCUACCGAUUGAAUGAUCCUAGGAAGUGUGUGCAUUGCGGCGACGUGGGUGGUUCGCUACCCACGACAUUGCGAGAAGUCCAUUGAACCUUAAUAUUUAUAGGAGGAAGAAGUCGUAACAAGGUUUCCAUAGAUGAACCUGCAGAAG
rnacentral:rRNA from 1 species